rnacentral:rRNA from 2 species
UUCCGGUUGAUCCCGCCGGACCUGACUGCUAUCGGAUUGAUAAAAGCCAUGUUAGUCUUUGUAGUAAUACAAGGCAUACGGCUCAGAAACACGUAGUCAACCUAACUUAUGGACGGGGAUAACUUCGGGAAACUGAUGAUAAUACCCGAUAGGUCAUUAUGCCUGGAAUGGUUUAUGGCUUAAAUGAAUUUCGCCAUAGGAUGGGACUGCGACCUAUCAGCUUGUUGGUGAGGUAAUGGCCCACCAAGGCGAUUACAGGUACGGGCUCUGAGAGGAGAAGCCCGGAGAUGGGUACUGAGACAAGGACCCAGGCCCUAUGGGGCGCAGCAGGCGAGAAAACUUUGCAAUGUGCGAAAGCACGACAAGGUUAAUCCGAGUGAUUUCUGCUAAAGGAAUCUUUUGUUAGUUCUAAAUAUAUUAGUGAAUAAGGGGUGGGCAAGUUCUGGUGUCAGCCGCCGCGGUAAAACCAGCACCUCAAGUGGUCAGGAGGAUUAUUGGGCCUAAAGCAUCCGUAGCCUGUUCUAUAAGUUUGCGGUUAAAUCUAUGCGCUCAACGUAUAGGCUGCCGUAAAUACUGUAGAACUAGGGAGUGGGAGAGGUAGACGGUACUCGGUAGGAAGGGGUAAAAUCCUUUGAUCUAUCGAUGACCACCUGUGGCGAAGGCGGUCUACCAGAACACGUUCGACGGUGAGGGAUGAAAGCUGGGGGAGCAAACCGGAUUAGAUACCCGGGUAAUCCCAGCUGUAAACGAUGCA